AUCCAAGGAGAAGCUCAUUCAGAAAGCAAGAUGUAUUAUUUUACUUCCUGCACAGAUGACCAUCUCCUGAACUAAUGCUUGCAAUUUCAGUGCCACACCAAGGAUAUUCUUUGGUUUUAGGCAAGGACUAUUUGCUAUGAAUUAUGUUGUUAUUGUUUAUUUGUGCUACAGAUGAAAUAAUGUAUUUCCAUCAGAAUUUAAACAGGUGUGAAGAUGCAAGGAAGGUCACUGGUCCUUUGUUCCACUUCUCUGAGCUCUUGUUGGAUGGCUGCCAUUUCUCAUCCUGCUUUGAUGAUUUCCAGCUUCAUUUGAGGAGCUGCUCUCUGCAGAUCGUGUAAUGAGGAGGAUUUCCUCAUGCAUCCUUUUCUUUAAGUAUGGGGGUGGAUGUUUCCUCCGUUGAACAGUGACUGCGUUUAAUAGUUUUGUUUCUUUAAUUAUUAGUGGUGAACUUUCUCUCUGUUGCUCUUGUGUGAAGUGACAGUGCAUAGCAUCUGUCCUGCAGAAAGAAAAAAGACGAAUACUGGCAAUGUGUUCUGUAGGAAGUGGAUCUCAUGGACACUGGUCCAUCUCGCACCAGAUCCUGCUUGGCUCAUUUUGAGAUGCUUUCCUCAGUGCUUUACUAAUAUUACAGCUGGACUGAGCUUUGUAAAAUCUGCUGCUAAGAGUGGAAAGUCAAAAUGUUGCAUAGAAGGGAUGCUUUAAUUUCUCUGUGCCGUUUGAAAAGGAAGAAAGAUGGGGGAGGGGGGAAGAGGAAAUGCUCAGCUGGAGGCUGGAUGACUGCAGACCUGGUGCGGCUCCUCUGGCUUUCAGCUUGGUGGGGUUUCCUACUCUGAAAUGAUGCUUCUCUGAAAGGCAAAUCUUAGCAAUUAAACUGAAGUGCAAGCUCUCUUGAAUCUUUAUUUUGUGUGGGUAAAGGCUGUCUAAAAUAAGUUUCAGUAUUCUUUCAGUAGGAAACCAUGUUUUUGUAGUCCAGAAUGCAAAUUUAUUCCUCACCAUCAUAUUCUGAUGAAGAAGUGAUAGGACACAUUGAGCUACAUGCUAUGCAUAUUCCAAGGAGAACAACUAAAUCUAUAUGCAAAGAUGUUUCCAAUAUGCCUGUACUCAGUCUGAAAGGAAAUAGUAUUUUUUGAUCCUAUUUAUGGGCAGUGGUCAUCCAUCCUCCUGCAGGCAUGGUACUGGUAACAGGACCAACAAGCAGAGGUGAGCAGAUGUGCUGCAGGAGUGCACUUACUAUCCUUUAUACUCAUUCACUGCAGAGCUGUUACUGCAGAACACAUUACUGGCUCUGUAACAUACGGCUUGUAGGCAUGAUAUUGCCUGAAAAGGGUCUUCAACUUGGGCUCAAUGAGUCUGACAUGUUGAAAGGACAAAUGCCAACAUUUAGUUUCCUUCCCUUGUGUUGAUUUUCCACAAGUCUCUGAAAAAAACUGGGGUUUGGACAUGGUUGUAGUUCUGUUCCGACUGCUGUUUUCCAAAUUGCAUUGGUUAUGUUGGAUGUGGUGCUUCCCCAUGCUUUCAAGAAUAAGACUACGGAGUAAACUAUGUGAUUUUAGUUUUUACCCUUUUGCUUUGCCUUAAGUAAUAUUAGCAAAUACUACAGAGGUAAGUGUAAUUUCAGAAUCUGAAAGGUAUUUCAAUUUUCUGCUUUGCUGUUAUGUCCUUCCUUCCCCCACCCCCCUUUAUUUCCUCCUCUUUUUUUUUUGGUCUCACACACUUUAGAUAAAUAUCUUUUUUCCAGAUUUAGUUCUACAGCUAUUUAGAUUAAGUGUGUGUGUGUAUAAGUACAGACUUCUCUGGUAAAAAAGUGUAGAAGGGAGGUGCUGGAUUGUCAUAAAUCUGAAACCAUCAGUAAAUGGUUGUAGUUUUCAAUUCCUGAACCUCUUGUUGAAAGGUUCUUAUGCCUACAGCAGCUAUGGAAUGGUUUUAAGCCCGUUUUCCUUUUGAAGGCCAACACCAUCACUUCUCUCUUGUAGGACUUCUUCAUAUUUUACAUAUAGAACUUCUGCUAGUAUUCUGCCCCGUUCAGGUUUUUUCAACACAAACACAGAACUGGACUGGAACACACGUUACUGUUUCCCUUUUCCUUCUGUUUUUGCUCUUAGCUUUUGUUAUUGUUCACUUGUUUUAAAUCUUCUGAUGGAGAGAAAGAUUUCUGCAUGAUGUAGAAGAUCUCAGCCACCUGAAGAGGCCUUCCUAGGGGUCUGAAAUGAUAUCACAGUGAGGUAGCAAGUCCUCAGAGGUGAGAAUGACCUGCUUUCCUGUGCUUCUACAGCUCCACAAAGCAAGGUAGUGACCCUUCCUGGUCCUCCAGCAGGAUGGUCCCUUCCCCACACUUCAGACAGUGCUGAGACAGUGAGCAUCUUUCCUGUUCAUCCUGGACAAGAUCUUCUGACUUCUGCAGUGUGUUGUGGGUUGGGAGAAAGGGCAAGUAAGGAGUCAGAAGUUAGAGUGUCUGCAUCCAACCUGCCAUCACAUGGGGUUGGUCUCUUCUCACUGCUGACAGGUGACAGGAUGAGGGGAAAUGGCCUCAAGUUGCACCAGGGGAGGUUUAGGUUGUAUAUCAGGAAAAACUUCUUUACAGAAAGGGUUGUUAAGCACUGGAAUGGGCUGCCCAGGGAGGUGGUUAAGUCACCAUCCCUGGAUGUGUUUAACAACUGUUUGGGUGUGCUUAGGGCCAUGAUUCAGUGGAGGGUUGUUAGUUAGGGUAGUAUGGUUAGGUCAUGGUUGGACUUGUUGACCUUUAAGGUUUUUUCCUAUCUGAGCAAUUCUAUGGUGAGCAGGCAACAACGAGAUGUGCCAGCAGCCAGCAUGCACCAGGUGCCAGAGUGCUGAGGAAGGUAAGGGAGCUCUGCUGGGGGGAGGGCACCCAACUGGUGUGAGCCAUGGGGAGCUGGCAGCCGAAAACGUGCUGGUUCCUGAGUGAGGAGGAAGGAAUGAAGGAGGACAGUCAGACUUAUCUGGCUCAUUUACUACAAUGUGCUGUAGAGGCUGGAAAUCAGGGGUAGGCAUUAAGAUGAUAACAUCUCCUACUAAUCACAGUAAGUGAAGAUUUCCAAAGUGAGAAAAGAUGUCACAGCCAUUAAUAGGACUAUUCAGUAUUUCUUACAAAUAAUAAUGAAUAUUUUGGGUUUUUUCCUCUCUUGAUCCACUAGGUUGCCUUGAAUGAAUGAACAGUGAUUUAUUUUCUAGUCAGUCAAUGUUGUAAUUGUAGAUAUCAGAUGGGUAUUGGCAAAUGAGGACUGUAGUCUGUCAGCUUCACAAGAAAUGCGUUCUUUCCCACAGUUCUUAUUGCUCUGAUAAUCCAGCACUGAUUACCUGAUGAUCCGUGAUCCAAGCCUUCCUUAAAUAUGGAGCCCAUUUUGCUGCAGCUUUCUCAGCAUAAUUUUCCUACAGUAACUCCUAAUUUCUGUUCAGAAUACAGAUGCCAGCUUCCUCCUGUGCUGCUUUGACUACAACACCCUCUCUUUCUGCUGUCAUUUCUGUUUUUUUUGGUCAAACAUAAGAUCUCCACCAGUCUGUGUCCAGGUGAUGGUCACUGCCAUGCCCAAAGCAGACUCUUCCUGGCUCUGGGCGCUGCUCCAGCUGGAGACUGGGACUGCUGCAUGUCAGUAUGCAGAGCCCUUCCUCCUGCAGUGCCCCUGCAUUGCUUUCCCUGAAACUCAUUUCAAGGGCCUCAAGUUUUCUUAGGUCUCAUUCUCAUCUGAAAUAAGUUUCCAGGUUAUCCUGGAAGCCAUCACUCAGUCAAGUGCUGGUUUCCAUCUCAGGAAAGUGUGUUUAUCCUCAAAAGGCAUUUCACGUGGCUUUUAAUUCAGAACUCUUCCAACCUGCCUGUAAAUCUGAAGCCUGGCCUGUCUGUGCUGAUGGCUUCACUCAUCUUUGUGAUGACUUGUCAAUAUGCUUUCCAGGCCUGAUGUCAUGCUUUCCAGGCUGUAGGAAGGGAGGUGGCUGCUUGCACUGAGCCUGUGCCUUGGAGUCUAUGUGUCCUGGUGUGGUAGGAGGGGCAGCAGGGUAGACCAUGGGCAGAGGGCUUAGCAAUGCCAGCAGGCUGGUUGAGGGCUGGGUGAUGCCAGCAGCAGUGUGGAGCACUGGGAUAUGGCAGCAGUUCUACAAUGCUGAGGCAGUCCCUGCUCCCUUCAAGGGACUCUGGCAACGCUGCAGAGGAAGACAGAGUAUAAGCUUGUGUUCAUUCUCACAGAGCUCCAGUUUAACAGUUCUCCUCCAUGGGCUGUGUAGCACCUUUCAGUGUCUGGUCAGCUUACCUUGAGCAUCUCUGCUCUCUCUGUGUGCCUGUCAUUACCUGGACCCAUGUAUCUGUAAUCUUGUCAGCAGCAUUUACCAUGCCAGAAAAAGUCUGUCAACAGCAGAGAAGUAACAGUGGCUUUCUAAGCAUGCUGCAAAUUUUUGCUGUUAACCUUUCAGUUCUUGACAGAAUUUUGCCAGUUAAAUUCCAAGUCAGUGACAGGAACAUGGAAAUGUGGAUUUAGGAAGCUGACAGGAUGGAGAUGCACCACUCCUGCAGAGUGCUAAUGCCUAACUAUGGGGACAGGUGGUUAAAAACAACUGCAGGUGCAUGUAUUGUGUCCUCGUUAUCACAGGGUGCUCUGGUUAGUGCCAGGUGUCAAGCAAAUAAAUACUAUUUAUUCAUCUGAAAAAUGUGGCAGUCAUUUAUUAUUCAUCCUCUGUGCAACCAAAUCUUCCUUGUUUUGAAAUACCUACAUUUUUCUGAAUAUUAUUUUCCCUGGUUUUGGGCAUGUAGGACCAAGUUUUGUGUCAAUGUGCAUAUUCUAUAUGCAGAAAUACACGAAAUAAAUACAUUUGGACUUUUUCUUCCCAGUGCUGCCUCAUGCCUCCUCCAUCUAGGCUCCAUCCUGGCUGGGACUGGUUGGGACUGAGGAUCCUGCCUCAUCAUGGGGUUCCCAAUGGGUAAUGGUGCCUGGGGUGACCCCACCUCAAGUGCUGUGUCUGCCUGAGGGAGGUAUCACACAAUGCUGGCACUCCAGCUGGCUGCCUGAUCCCUUGACUUGGAGUCAUUUGCCAGCUGUGCCUGUGCCCCUUGUUCUGUCAGCUUCUUCUUGAUGCAGGUCAGCAGCCCUCUGCCACCUCAACCAGUGCCACCUCUGGCCAAGCACUGGUCUGACUCAGAGCCCUCAUCCACCACCUGCUGAGCCUGGAGGUCCUGACAGCGUCAUUCAUCCACCAUUUAUCUGCCCAUCCCACCCACAUCUCCCAGCUUGACUUCAAGGGUGUGACUGAUGAUUACUGGAGAAACCUCACUCACUAACAGCUCACCUACAGUCCUCAUUGUGUUAAGAAGACAUUCAAAGAGUAUAGGUUUAUUUUAAGAAUUGAGCUGCCGCCAUCUGUGGAGAAUAGGCAGAGAUUUUUAUUGAUUAUGGCAAAUGAGAAAAGCAAGACAAAUACACCAUGUAGGGUUUUUGUUAAUAUUAGGUAUAUUAUCAAAGCUCAUAAUGGGGUCUAAGGUGUCUAUACUUCUUUUGCUAUUAUGUGCAUUUGAUAUUGUCCUAUUUUAAGAAACACUUUCUCUGUUCCCCCACCUCUGCCACAUUCUGUGCUCUAAGAAGGAACCUCCUCUCUUCUGACUUACAGGAACACCAGCGGUGAUCUGCUCUUCCAGGAACCCUCUAGCUGAAGAAACCCAAUGGAGCGUUUGGAACAAUUUAAAUAUUUCACAAUCAGAUACUAAAUCUGCUGCUUUCCCCAAGAGAUGCUUGAGGAGAAUGCCCUGUCCUUGACUGGCUGGUGACACUGAGCUGGCUGCUUCAUUAAUCGCAGUGCCGCCGGGCAGGGUGUCGUAAAGCCACUGCUCAGCAUUUGUAAGUGGGGACUGCAUAUUUAUACUCAGCGUUGUGCUGUGCCAUUAAUUUACCAGAACACAAACUGAAGUGGUAGUUAUUAGCAGUGUCCAUUUAUUAUAGCCAUUUUAUUUUUCAUGUCCUUUAAACAUUAAUCGCUCUUUUUAAUAGGUUAGAGUUGGUUGAACAGAUGUGAAAUAAAUGAUAUAGGUCUGUGAUCAGUAAAUGCAUUUUAACUUA